CCUAGGGGACUGCGGAGGACAUUGUCGAACCUGCACAGCAGACCGCGAACACGUGUUUAACACUGCCGGGGGCGCGGCGUGGGGGCAACCCCCGUCUCGUACUCGGUUCCCUGCCGGCGCGCGUCCUCCGGCCGUGUCGUGCGGGCUAACGAACCCCGGCGCGGAAUGCGCCAAGGAAUACUAAUCGAAACGUCCGCCCCCUGUGUUCCGUUCGCGGUGUGUGCUGUGUGGACCGGAUGUCUAUCAGAUGUCUUAACUGCUCUCGGCAACGGAUAUCUCGGCUCUCGCAUCUCUGAAAAACGUAACGAAAUGCGAUACUUGGUGUGAAUUGCGGAAUCUCGUGAACCAUCUAGUCUUUGAACGCAUGUUGCGCCCGAAGCCCUUAAGCCCAUGGCACGUCUGCCUGGGCGUCCUGCAUCUCGUCGCCCCCCUCCCCACGUAAAGCGUGUGUUGUGGGGGCGGAGCCUGGCCUCCCGUGUGUGUCGUUGCGCGGCUGGCUGAGCUGUGAUCCCUCGGCGACUCAUGUCGCGACAAGUGUUGGUUGAACAGCUCACUUUCUAUGUCGCGCUUUUGUGUCACUAGUAGGGCCAUCGAUCAAUGACAUCAUGGUGUUGGCACCACACGGUGCGCCCUCUUCGACUGCGACCGCAAGUCAAGCGCGAUUACCCGCUGAGUUUAACUUAUCAAUAUGAGGAAGAANAGGAA
rnacentral:rRNA from 1 species